AGUGAAGGACAUUUGUCUGUUUCUUUGCAGGACUGUGGGCAGAAGACAAAGAAACCUCUCUGAGCCUGGGUCAUCUCUCAGUGCUGUUGUUACAGGGAGCCAGGACUAGACCCAAGGAGCCAAGGCAAGCACACUGAAGGAGGAAACUGCUUUAGCAGCAGUCCAGAGAAGAGCAGUGUUUCUGGGCCAUGUGUCAUUUGCAUCCAUGCCGGAAAUUUUCACCAUUCUCAUCAUCCGUA